rnacentral:rRNA from 1 species
GAUGAACGCUGGCGGCGUGCUUAACACAUGCAAGUCGAACGGGAAACCUUUUAUUGCAGCUUCGGCAGAUUUAGCUGGUUUCUAGUGGCGGACGGGUGAGUAACGCGUGGGUAACCUGCCUUAUACAGGGGGAUAACAGUCAGAAAUGGCUGCUAAUACCGCAUAAGCGCACAGAGCUGCAUGGCUCAGUGUGAAAAACUCCGGUGGUAUAAGAUGGACCCGCGUUGGAUUAGCUGGUUGGUGGGGUAACGGCCCACCAAGGCGACGAUCCAUAGCCGGCCCGAGAGGGUGAACGGCCACAUUGGGACUGAGACACGGCCCAGACUCCUACGGGAGGCAGCAGUGGGGAAUAUUGCACAAUGGGGGAAACCCUGAUGCAGCGACGCCGCGUGAAGGAAGAAGUAUCUCGGUAUGUAAACUUCUAUCAGCAGGGAAGAUAAUGACGGUACCUGACUAAGAAGCCCCGGCUAACUACGUG